GACGAACGCUGGCGGCGUGCUUAACACAUGCAAGUCGAACGGAAAGGCCCUGCUUUUGUGGGGUGCUCGAGUGGCGAACGGGUGAGUAACACGUGAGUAACCUGCCCUUGACUUUGGGAUAACUUCAGGAAACUGGGGCUAAUACCGGAUAGGAGCUCCUGCUGCAUGGUGGGGGUUGGAAAGUUUCGGCGGUUGGGGAUGGACUCGCGGCUUAUCAGCUUGUUGGUGGGGUAGUGGCUUACCAAGGCUUUGACGGGUAGCCGGCCUGAGAGGGUGACCGGCCACAUUGGGACUGAGAUACGGCCCAGACUCCUACGGGAGGCAGCAGUGGGGAAUAUUGCACAAUGGGCGGAAGCCCGAUGCAGCAACGCCGCGUGCGGGAUGACGGCCUUCGGGUUGUAAACCGCUUUCGCCUGUGACGAAGCGUGAGUGACGGUAAUGGGUAAAGAAGCACCGGCUAACUACGU
rnacentral:rRNA from 1 species